rnacentral:rRNA from 1 species
CACUGAAACACGGGCCAGACUCCUACGGGAGGCAGCAGUGGGGAAUCUUGCACAAUGGGGGAAACCCUGAUGCAGCGACGCCGCGUGAGCGAUGAAGCCCUUCGGGGUGUAAAGCUCUUUCGGCAGGGAAGAUUAUGACGGUACCUGCAGAAGAAGCCCCGGCUAACUCUGUGCCAGCAGCCGCGGUAAUACAGAGGGGGCAAGCGUUGUUCGGAAUUAUUGGGCGUAAAGGGCGUGUAGGCGGUUUGUCAAGUCGGGUGUGAAAGCCUGGGGCUCAGCCCCAGAAGUGCAUCCGAAACUAGCGAGCUAGAGCGCGAUAGAGGAGGGUGGAAUUCCUGGUGUAGCGGUGAAAUGCGUAGAUAUCAGGAGGAACACCGGCGGCGAAGGCGGCCCUCUGGAUCGUUGCUGACGCUGAGACGCGAAAGCGUGGGGAGCAAACAGGAUUAGAUACCCUGGUAGUCCACGCCUUAAACGAUGGGUACUAGGUGUUCGGGGUGUUGACCCCCUGAGUGCCGCAGUUAACGCAUUAAGUACCCCGCCUGGGGACUACGGCCGCAAGGUUAAA